AUGGCACGUUGUUAUCAACCUGAUGACAUUAAAACUCGGAGAGUAGUAAACUGCAGCAUCUUUAGCCUGAACUCCACUGACGACAAAGUCAGAGUCGUGUCUCUCAGUGAGUUUGUAUCACUAUGGUGGACUUUUGGUGGAGGAACCAGACUGGAUGUUGGAAGUGAUACUCGUCCCACCCUGACAGUGCUGCCCCCCUCCAGUGAGGAGCUGCAACAGGGGAAGGCCACCCUCAUGUGUCUGGCCAACAAGGGCUUCCCCUCAGGCUGGAGUUUGUCCUGGAAGGUGGACGGCAGCAGCAGCAGCAGCAGCAGCUGGGAGCAGAGCAGGAUCCCCGGGGUGCUGCAGAAGGACGGCCUCUACAGCUGGAGCAGCACCCUGAGGCUCCCUGCAGACCAGUGGAGGAAGGUGGGCUCUGUGACCUGUGAGGCCACCCAGAACAUUGUCCCUUUUGAUGUAUUGUGA